CCCCUAGAUGUUCUGGGCCGCACGCGCGCUACACUGAACAGUUCAACAAGUCUUAACCUUGGCCGAUAGGUCUGGGUAAUCUUUGAACGCUGUUCGUGAUUGGGAUAGACCUUUGCAAUUAUGGGUCUUCAACGAGGAAUUCCUAGUAAACGCAAGUCAUCAGCUUGCAUUGAUUACGUCCCUGCCCUUUGUACACACCGCCCGCCGCACCUACCGAUUGAAUGGUCCGGUGAAAUCUCGGGACGGCGGCUUGGUCGCUUGCGUCCGACUGCUGAAACUUGAUUAAACCAUAUCAUUUAGAGGAAGGUGAAGUCGUANCA
rnacentral:rRNA from 1 species